UGUGUUUUUUUUUUAGUCGGCCUGUUCUGAGCGACUGAGAAGACAAGCCCUGGCUGCAGUUCUCCUGCAGCCGUGCGACGUUCUCUGUUCGGUAGCAAUAUUUCCAAAACAACUAACUUAUGAAGAAGACGAGUCGAUAACUCUCUCCUCGUCCGGUUUUCCAUCAAUGUCGUUUAGUCUGAUCUAUUCUGCCUGGAUGGGCCACAGGACGGGUAGGUCCUAUGUCGCAGACAGCCUCGACUUAACGAUGCAGCUACUGUAAUCGCCAUCGCUCGAAACAGCCAAAUUCAUUCGGUAUUGUCAUUGGUCGACCUCCCCUUUGGUCAAGAGAAACAUUUUGAACUGUCAGAUUUAAUCAAUGUGCAUGUUCGUGCACGCAUGUAAUUCGGCGUUAGGAAAAAGGCACUACGACAUUGGGCAUGUGUUCCGCAUACGCAGGUGCGGAACAAUCCAAUCUCAAAGACUACCCACCGAACACCGAGUAGCAAAAGAAAAUCUCGAGCGAUUCGCUAAUGUAUAUUACGAGAGACAUGAUCGUACGGAUCGCUCGCUGGGUCGUUUUACUUAGGCCGUAAGCCAGGGUGGUUGUGAACGAAGCGCGCG